CCCCCAUGAAUGGGUGGUUGGGUGGCUGGGUAUAGACCAGUUAUCUGAUUUGAUGCACAGAAAUAGUGAUCGAAGGGAAACCCUCAAGUUGUUUGAUGAUAUGCUUAAAAGACUUCAACUAUUACCUUGCACAUACUAUAGCUUACAUGCUGUCAGUAUUAAGUAAAUCAAUUUAAUUACGUUUCAUUAUAUACAUUAUCUACUGUCUUAAACAUGCAAGUAGAAUUGAUCGAUUACCCGUACCAUGAACCUUAAUUCAUGACCUAUCAUAAUCAUGGUGUU
rnacentral:misc_RNA from 1 species